GACGAACGCUGGCGGCGUGCUUAACACAUGCAAGUCGAACGGUGAAGCGCUUGCCUUUUUGGUGGGUGUGGAUGAGUGGCGAACGGGUGAGUAACACGUGAGUAACCUGCCCUCUUCUUCUGGAUAACCUCAUGAAAGUGGGGCUAAUACGGGGUAUUCCGGGUCUGUCGCAUGGCGGGUUUGGGAAAGAUUGCGCCUUUGGGUGUUUUCGGUGGGGGAUGGGCUCGCGGCCUAUCAGCUUGUUGGUGGGGUGAUGGCCUACCAAGGCGGUGACGGGUAGCCGGGCUGAGAGGGUGGACGGCCACACUGGGACUGAGACACGGCCCAGACUCCUGCGGGAGGCAGCAGUGGGGAAUAUUGCACAAUGGGCGCAAGCCUGAUGCAGCGACGCCGCGUGAGGGAUGGAGGCCGUCGGGUUGUGAACCUCUUUCGCCAGUGAAGCAGGCCUGCUCCUGUGUGGGUGGGUUGACGGUAGCUGGAGAAGAAGCGCCGGCUAACUACGUG
rnacentral:rRNA from 1 species